UACGGAGGGUGCAAGCGUUAUCCGGAUUCACUGGGGUUAAAGGGUGCGUAGGUGGGUCUGUAAGUCAGCUGUGAAAUCUCCGGGCUUAACCCGGAAACUGCCAUUGAUACUAUAGGUCUUGAAUUUUCUGGAGGUCAGCGGAAUAUGUCAUGUAGCGGUGAAAUGCUUAGAUAUGACAUAGAACACCAAUUGCGAAGGCAGCUGGCUACAGGAACAUUGACACUGAGGCACGAAAGCGUGGGGAUCAAACAGG
rnacentral:rRNA from 1 species